rnacentral:rRNA from 1 species
AUUGAACGCUGGCGGCAUGCUUUACACAUGCAAGUCGAACGGCAGCGCGGGCUUCGGCCUGGCGGCGAGUGGCGAACGGGUGAGUAAUACAUCGGAACGUGCCCAGUAGUGGGGGAUAGCUCGGCGAAAGCCGGAUUAAUACCGCAUACGACCUGAGGGUGAAAGCGGGGGAUCUUCGGACCUCGCGCUAUGGGAGCGGCCGAUGGCAGAUUAGCUAGUUGGUGGGGUAAAGGCCUACCAAGGCGACGAUCUGUAGCUGGUCUGAGAGGACGACCAGCCACACUGGGACUGAGACACGGCCCAGACUCCUACGGGAGGCAGCAGUGGGGAAUUUUGGACAAUGGGCGAAAGCCUGAUCCAGCAAUGCCGCGUGUGUGAUGAAGGCCUUCGGGUUGUAAAGCACUUUUGGCGGGAACGAAAAGGACUGUGCCAAUACCACGGUUCGAUGACGGUACCCGCAGAAUAAGCACCGGCUAACUACGUG